rnacentral:rRNA from 1 species
UACAGGGGGUGCAAACGUUGCUCGGAAUCAUUGGACGUAAAGCGCACGUAGGCGGUCUGUUAUGUCGGAUGUGAAAGCCCUCGGCUCAACUGAGGAAGUGCAUCCGAAACUGGCAGGCUAGAGUACUAAAGAGGGUCGCGGAAUUCCCGGUGUAGAGGUGAAAUUCGUAGAUAUCGGGAGGAACACCGGUGGCGAAGGCGGCGACCUGGGUAGAUACUGACGCUGAGGUGCGAAAGCGUGGGGAGCAAACAGG